UGGGGAAUAUUGGACAAUGGGGGCAACCCUGAUCCAGCCAUGCCGCGUGAGUGAUGAAGGCCUUCGGGUUGUAAAGCUCUUUUGGCGGGGACGAUGAUGACGGUACCCGCAGAAUAAGCCCCGGCUAACUUCGUGUCAGCAGCCGCGGUAAGACGAAGGGGGCAAGCGUUGUUCGGAAUUACUGGGCGUAAAGGGCGCGUAGGCGGUUUGCUUAGUCAGGCGUGAAAGCCCUGGGCUUAACCUGGGAUGUGCGCUUGAUACUGGCAGGCUUGAGUUUGGGAGAGGUUGGUGGAAUUCCCAGUGUAGAGGGUAAAUUCGUAGAUAUUGGGAAGAACACCGGUGGCGAAGGCGGCCAACUGGACCACAACUGACGCUGAGGCGCGAAAGCGUGGGGAGCAAACA
rnacentral:rRNA from 1 species